UCAGCGAUAAAUUGCCGACAAUUUUGUCCUCAACGGAAACGACACUUGUGAAUGGGUGAUUUGUGGACGAGUGAUGCGUGGUUGGGUGAUUUGUGGACUGGUGAUUUGUGGAUGAGUGAUGAGUAAUGUGUAGAAAUGUGAUGUUAAUGUGUUUAUAGUAUAUAACGUGGACAAACUCUUUGUUUUGAUUCCAUAAAAGUAUACAACAAUACGUGGACAUAGACUCAUGUUACUAAAAUUAUACCAUAAACGUGGACACAAACUCUUUUAUCUCCAACACAAGCACUUGGCUUCUUUG
rnacentral:lncRNA from 1 species